UCCAACAAAAAUAGAGCAUGAGAGUUGAUUUGAGUUUCCAAUCAAUCUCAAAUUUUCUCAAAUUUUGGAUUGGAUUGGUGACUCAACAGUUACCUCUAGUUGCUUUCAAUGAAAUUAAACUAAGUGAUUGAUUGUUGUUUUAACGUCAUAUCAAUGGUGAAUCGAGAACUCUAUAUAUGCACGUUGUCAAAGCGGGAAAGAGUUGAAAGUCGACAGAAAUGGAAGAAUCUGUCCAGAUCCAGUUACCCAUCUAGUUCAUCCUCCAUCCCUUUCUCUUCUACGUAUGCGACACGUAAACUGGGAAGAUUUCGCUGCGAUUUCUGUUUUAUGAAGGCAAACAUGGAGGAAGGAGACGAUGGGAUGUAGGCGUUCGUAAAUUUUUCUGGAGAUUUGAGUAUCGACAGCCAUGAGUUUAUCGAGCUCAAGUUUCUUUACGGUGAGCGAACGGAUCUGUGCGGCAUUUAUACCAAUCAUUGCGGUUGUAGAGGCCUUGAUUUUGACGAUGAGCAGAUGCUUUGAUUGUCGCCAUGAGAGUGAGAAAGGUCGCCGCUGCCUUAGUGAACUUUCUCGGCUUGCUAGUGAAACUAGAUUUUCUACCAAUGAAGUGGAAGCGCUGUAUGAGCUUUUCAAGAAGCUGAGUAGUUCGAUUAUUGAUGAUGGAUCGAUUCACAAGGAGGAGCUUCAGCUGGCACUUCUCAGAAGUCCAUAUGGCGAGAACCUGUUUCUGGAUCGGGUUUUUGAUCUUUUUGAUGAAAGAAAAAAUGGAGUGAUUGAAUUUGAUGAAUUUGUCCAUGCUCUUAGCAUUUUCCAUCCCCAUGCACCUACUGAGGAGAAGAUCGACUUUGCGUUUAAACUCUAUGAUUUGAGGCAAACGGGGUUCAUCGAACGUGAAGAAGUUAAGCAAAUGCUUAUAGCAAUCUUAAUGGAAUCUGACACGAGGUUAUCCGAUGAACUUCUCGAAGCAAUUCUCGACCAGACAUUUGCUGAUGCUGAUGCUGAUAAGGAUGGAAGAAUCAGCAAGGAAGAGUGGAAGGCUUUUGUAAGCAAACAUCCAUCUCUUUUGAAGAACAUGACUCUUCCUUAUUUGAAAGAUGUAACGACAAUAUUUUCGAGUUUUGUUUUCAACACUGAGGUUGAAGAUUAAAAAUUUCGCAGCCACUUUUGCAUUGAACUGAAAUCACUGGAUCUUACUUCAUUAGAACUGAGGAAGCAUCGAUGCGAAGAAUGUGGACGAUGCUGAAGGUAAUAGUCAGAGAAAGUCCAUUCCUAAGAGGUAAGUUUUCCUUCUGGUAGAUGAUCUGUUGAUGUCAUGAGUAGGAUAAAUUUACUGGUUGUUUAUGAACGGCUUGUGUUUUGGUGUGUCUUUGAUGCGAUAGGAUGAGUUGAGGCAAACGACUCGGGUUGCCACUGGUUGACUUUCUGGCCUCUGAAUUAUUGAAGAAGCUUGGUUUUCAAAGAUACAAGAUACGAGUUUGAUUCAUUGUUUGUGCAUAUAGGAGUUGGUGACAAAGUUAAUGUAAGAUCCUACGUUAAGUGAAGAGGGGAAUAAAGCACAAUGCUUGCUUUAAAGGUGUGGAGAACUCUAGGCUUAUAAAGGUGUGGAAAUCUCACUAGAGGUUGUAUUUUAAAA